UACGUAGGAGGCGAGCGUUGUCCGGAAUUACUGGGCGUAAAGGGUGCGCAGGCGGUUUGUUAAGUCCGUUGUGAAAGCCCCGAGCUCAACUUGGGAAUUGCAGUGGAUACUGGCAAGCUGGAGUACGGUAGAGGAAGGUGGAAUUCCCGGUGUAGCAGUGAAAUGCGUAGAUAUCGGGAGGAACACCAGUGGCGAAGGCGGCCUUCUGGACCAGUACUGACGCUCAUGCACGAAAGCGUGGGGAGCAAACAGG
rnacentral:rRNA from 1 species